UACGGAGGGUGCAAGCGUUAUCCGGAUUCACUGGGUUUAAAGGGUGGCGUAGGCGGGCUGAUAAGUCAGUGGUGAAAGCUCCGAGCUUAACUUGGAAACUGCCAUUGAUACUGCCAGUCUUGAAUGUCGUAGAGGUAAGCGGAAUGUUGCAUGUAGCGGUGAAAUGCUUAGAUAUGUUACAGAACACCAAUUGCGAAGGCAGCUUACUAGUGCGAUGAUUGACGCUGAGGCACGAAAGCGUGGGGAGCAAACAGG
rnacentral:rRNA from 1 species